UCUGAUACCACUUGUUGUCCCUUGAAGCAACCCAAAAGGGGGGGUGAAUUGGGUUUAUAAAAAAAUUUAAUGCAAAAAGAUAAAUUAAAAGGCAAUAAAGAAGAGAAUGAUCAACACAAGGAUUUAUAGAGGUUUAGCUAUCUCAAGCCUACAUCCUCUCCUCAAGGCCAGCUCCGGCCCUCUAGCACUCUGUUAUGGCGCAAUCAUCUUGGACCACAUCAGCAAGACCUUUCUUUGGUGAAGCAGGUGUGAUGUCCUUCUCGUUAUCCAAAAGAGUGUCGGAAGCUUAUUUUGGUGAAGCUGGAAAGUCCCUCUUCCCUUAGGGAAUCCAUUUUGUGAAGAAGGAAGGCUCUCCUUGAGAGUUCAAC
rnacentral:lncRNA from 1 species